GGAGACGUGGCCGAGUGGUCGAAGGCACUUCCCUGCUAAGGAAGCAUAUGGGCUUAAACCUGUAUCGAGGGUUCGACUCCCUCCGUCUCCGCCA
rnacentral:tRNA from 1 species